rnacentral:piRNA from 1 species
AGGGAUUGACAUCUGAAGCAAGCUUGU